AAAGAACCCCUAAGCAUAGCUUUAUUAAACGUUUCUUAAGACUAAACUGAUUUUUAUUUAAAACGAUUUAAAACUGUCUUGCGCCAUGGUUUUUCUAAAGAGAUUUAACAAAACCUAGUUUAUGAUAUCAUUCAAUUUCUCAUUCGGUCUAUACGAUUCGUUAUACACUAUUUGAUUUCAAAUUUGAUAGUUUCCAAUGAAGUGGGCUAAUAUUUUGGGUGAAAUGAAAUAUACUUGUCGUCACAUGUCAGUCCCGUCACCGAGUGUUACUGUCACUUGAUAAACAAACAACCGUGUGCAGUUACCGAAAUAUAAAUAGGUACCUAAUUGAUAAAUUAUAAAAAUGGAAGGUAAAAAACACCAACGGGCACCCAAUUUUACAUGUGACGAAAGUAUGCUUUUAUGUAACCUCGUAGACACAUAUAAUUUCAUAAUUGAAAAUAAAUAAAAAACUGAUGGUUAGACCGUAGCCGAAAAACAGAAGGCUUGGAAGAUGCUGAGGAAAGAAUAAUAUAACGCCAACACCACUUAUGUACCCAGAACUACUGAGAAUUUACUGGUAGGUACAAAAACCUGAAAACAAAGACGAAAAAACAGCACUCAAGUGAAAAAAUGCAGAUCUCAAAUAUACCUAGAUAGCAAAGUUUUAAACGCGUCUGUAGUUCAGACAGUGGAGCUCCAUGGACAAGACUGGGAAACGGUGUCGGCUGAUGUUAAUCUCCCCCCAGAGGAAUGCCAAAACAACAUUCAAUAUUUUAAGUAAAGAAGCGAAACAAUCAUCAAGCAAAAUAAAACAACAAGUCAUAUUUUAAGAUUUAGAUAUAAUAUACAGUGGUAAUUAAUAAUAAUAAACAUGUUUUUAAAUCAACUGGUGUUUGGUACUGGUGACGCUAUAACCUUGCAAAAUAGUUAUUGAUCAGCAAAGUUCUUGCAUUGUUCCCAGACUGUAAGGCACGAGGAGGUUGGUCUAUAUAGAUUGUUGUGGUAUUUUUUGUAAGACGAAAGCUUUUUAUAAAUUCAUCAUCUCGAUAAGCACAAAACAAAUCUGUUAUUUUGGUAGUUAACCCUCCUAUAAAAGUAAGGGGUAUUCAAAUAUUCAAUCAUUUCUUUAUCGUCGUCUGAAUAAUGUUGUCGUCCUAAGGUACCCCAGUGGUACAGAGGGCCUUCACGAGAGUGCCCCACGCCGUCCUCCUUGCGCUCGCAGCUCGCCGUCCACUGUGCGCCGCCAUGUGUGCACAGGGCGACCGCGUCUCCGAUGGCCUCCUAGCGGUUUCCACUCGAAAGCGAUGCUUGCCAUGUUAUCGGCUCCCCUUCUUAUAGUGUGACC